UGCCGCNUAGACUUCGCGUCANGACGCGUAUGGCGAUGUCUGCNCNGUCCACGUUUCUCUUUCUUCAGAGAAGACAAAGAUACCGCGUCAGAUCCGAGAUAGUAUAUAUUACUGUCUGGACCGGUNUGUACGAGAAUGGGCCCGUAGCUCAGUUGGUUAGAGCACACGCUUGAAAGCNGG
rnacentral:misc_RNA from 1 species